UUUUUUUAUAUUAUUUGCAUGUGUUUCAGUGUCAAAAACAAAGGUACAGAGAAGUAAAGAGUCAUGCCAAAAGAUGAAAACGGACCAGGGUGUGCACGGUGCUUGUACUAAGCAGUCAACAGUGACAAAGGGUUUGACCAAAAUCUCUACCAAGACACAUCCACCAGCUCCUGACGGUUAUGGGAAACACCAUAUCGUAAAGCAGACCUGUAAAGAGCCAACUAAUGUACCUCCAGAUGUGUCCACACUUUUGUCCCCCAUGGUUUCUCCAGACGACCUGCUUGACUGGGCUUGUUCUAGAUUUGAGGUAAAAUGUUUUUGGCAUGAU